UACGUAGGGUGCGAGCGUUUGUCCGGAAUUAUUGGGCGUAAAGAGCUUGUAGGCGGUUUGUCGCGUCUGCUGUGAAAAUCCGGGGCUCAACCCCGGACUUGCAGUGGGUACGGGCAGACUGGAGUGUGGUAGGGGAGACUGGAAUUCCUGGUGUAGCGGUGGAAUGCGCAGAUAUCAGGAGGAACACCGAUGGCGAAGGCAGGUCUCUGGGCCACUACUGACGCUGAGAAGCGAAAGCAUGGGGAGCGAACAGG
rnacentral:rRNA from 1 species